GCGAGGAUAGCCAAGCGGUCAACGGCGGUCGACUCAAGAUCGACUCUCGAAGGAGUUCGCGGGUUCGAAUCCCUCUCCUCGCA
rfam:Methanoculleus sp. MAB1 isolate Methanoculleus sp MAB1 genome assembly, chromosome: chrI